GUGGCUUAAUUUGACUCAACGCGGGGAAUCUUACCGGGUCCGGACACACUGAGGAUCGACAGACAGUUGUCUUUCCCUCCCUUCGGGGUGGGAUUACAAAAGAUAACAGAUCUUUCAUGAUCAUGUGAUGGGUGGUGCAUGGCCGUUCUUAGUUCGUGGAGUGAUCUGUCUGCUUAAUUGCGUUUCAAAUUUUAUAUUUGUUAACAUGCGAGUCUUCAAUGACGGCCGCUCCACCUUAUAGACAUUAUAUGAUAUGCACAUUUGUGUAUUUGAUUAUAACUUGUCUGGAGUCUGGCUCGAUUUUUUUGACUCAAUUGAACGCAACGGACGUGAUUGCAAGUCCUUGUUGAACAAAUUAUAUAUAUACUACUUCAUCAUUAGUAUAUAUAGUUCGCUUCUCAUGUCGUAGCAGUCAAACGGGCGGGCGUCUUAAUUGGCGCGGUCACGAGGCUUAAUAUGCUGCGGCAGGGAAAACUUGGGCGACCGCUGUAAUACUUCUCUCUUAAACCAGAGGAAGAUUGCGGCAAUAACAGG
rnacentral:rRNA from 2 species